AUGACCAUUAACAAGGCUCAAGGGCAGACAAUCCCGAUUGUUGGUGUCUACCUACCCAAUCCCGUGUUCUCUCAUGGUCAACUCUAUGUUGCUUUGUCUCGAGCCACCGCAAAGAGAAACAUAAAGAUACUCAUUCAGAAGGAGAAGCCGAAGGAGAAGUCCAACAAGCAAAAGGACAAACCAAAGAAAAGACCGACCGUGUCAUUACUAACCUCGAUGAAGAACAUCGUCUACAAGGAAGUCCUUACAGGCUGA
rnacentral:rRNA from 1 species